GAUGAACGCUGGCGGCGUGCCUAAUACAUGCAAGUCGAGCGAACAGACGAGGAGCUUGCUCCUCUGACGUUAGCGGCGGACGGGUGAGUAACACGUGGAUAACCUACCUAUAAGACUGGGAUAACUUCGGGAAACCGGAGCUAAUACCGGAUAAUAUAUUGAACCGCAUGGUUCAAUAGUGAAAGACGGUUUUGCUGUCACUUAUAGAUGGAUCCGCGCCGCAUUAGCUAGUUGGUAAGGUAACGGCUUACCAAGGCAACGAUGCGUAGCCGACCUGAGAGGGUGAUCGGCCACCCUGGAACUGAGACACGGUCCAGACUCCUACGGGAGGCAGCAGUAGGGAAUCUUCCGCAAUGGGCGAAAGCCUGACGGAGCAACGCCGCGUGAGUGAUGAAGGUCUUCGGAUCGCAAACCUCUGUUAUUAGGGAAGAACAAAUGUGUAAGUAACUAUGCACGUCUUGACGGUACCUAAUCAGAAAGCCACGGCUAACUACGUG
rnacentral:rRNA from 1 species